AGCAUUCCCUUGAACACCCACCCUUCCUGGACUCCCAUCUUACUAAUGCUCUUGCCCUUCAGUGCCUCACUUAAUAAUCUCCUGAGCACAUUGAAAUUAGCCUUUUUUGAAGUCUAGCACUUCUGCCCUACUAGUUACCUUUCCUACCUUUCGCCAGAUAGUGAAUUCUAACAAUUGGUGAUCGCUAUCCCCUAGGUUACCCUGUAUCUGCAGAUCACCCACCCCUGUAGCAAGCACUAAGUCCAGUAAGGCAUUUGCCCUAGUGGGACCACACAUCUCUUGCAUUAGGUGAAGGUCCUGUAUGCUGGUUAGGAAUCGAUGUGAAUGGACAGAUCUAGCUGACUGCUCCUCCCAGCAGAUGUCAGGGUAGUUUAGGUCACCCAUGACAACCAUGUCCCUUGAGUGUACCGCCUUUGACAGCUGCCUCAAAUUCCAUGUCUAGCUCAUCAUCCUGGUGUGACAGUCUUCAAGAGACCCCUACUACCAAGUCCCUUUCACCCCGACCUCAUUGUAUUCUGACCCACAAUGCCUCAAUUUGCCCCUCUUCUGAUCCCAUCUUGAUUAUUGAAGAUGUGUAUUGCUCCUUAACAUAGAGAGCAAUGCUCCCUCACCUUUUCCCUACUGUAUCUCAUCUGCACAGCCUAUAUCCCUCAGUGCCUACUGCCCAAUCAUAGAUAGGGUCCCACCAGGUUUCUGUUAACUCAACCAGGUCAAAGUCUUUGUUUGCAAGCCUUCUGCUUGUUCUCCAUGCUCCUAGCAUUAGAAUAGAGACACCGAAUCCCCAUGAUGGAUACCUGUCCAACUAAUAGUGCCUCCAUUCCCCAGUGUAGAUGUGAGAGUCAAGUGCUCACAUUCUUGUGUUAUUCCUUGUCUUUCUCCUAGGACUCUGUUUGUGGCUUCCAGGGAGGGUCAGUGGCCUCCCCUCUUCGCGAUGAUCCACAUUCGAAGACACACCCCUCUUCCAGCUGUUAUGUUAAUGUUCCCUCUGGUUACUGCUAUGGUGUGUGUUGGAGAUAUCUACCACCUGCUGAAUUUCUUCAGCUUUUCCCGAUGACUCUUCAUAGGGCUAGCCACACUUGGGCUCAUCGUCCAUCGCUACCGUCACCCCGAGCUGCCCAGGCCCUUCAAGGUUCCCCUCUUUGUUCCAGUCUCCUUCACCACCAUCUGCCUCUUCACAGUGGGAAUGUCUUUCUACUCGGACCCUGUCAGUAUCAGCAUUGGUUGUGCCAUGGUUUUGAGUGGUUUUCCAGUCUACUAUUUGGUGGUCUGCAGGCCAAUGCCAAAGUGUUGCCAUGACCUGUUCUAUCAUCUGACAUUCAAACUUCAGGUGCUGCUGGAAGUCAUCAAACAGGAAAUCAGAACUUACUGAGAAGAACAACCUGCCUUGUUGGAGAUGGUAUACACUACAGUGGGUUGUUCAGUAGAACUUGCAAGUCCCAAUUCUCAAACUUUAGAUUUAAGCGGAGGCAUUCUUAAUGUUUUAGUUGCUGAAGUACAACUAGGUGAUCUUCAGUUAAAGGAGCACCAAAACUUGGUUACUGGCCUCUAGACCUCAUUCCUUUAAGACCGUUGGUGCUGCAGAACAAGCAGGAAUAAAUACUAGAAUCUUUUGUCACUUAAACUAGGAAGGUGACUUGGAGGGUCUGAGUAGGAAGAUGUGAUUUUUAUAUAGCUGCUUUGCAGAGAAGAACUGCAUUUUAAACUAACCUUGAACUGAAGUUUUUGAGUCAAGACCUGGUCUUUGAAGAAACAGUGAGAAUGGUGGAGCACUUGAGAAUAUAUUUUAAAUGCAAGCUCACUUCUAGGCUUUGAAUGAGGGCCUACGUACACAUUUUAAGUAUUUCCUCUUACUAGUAUUUAGCAAUUUUGAGCAAAAUGAAUGUACCACUUGCAGAACAAUGUAUUCCACUCAAACCCUAGGAAAUGUAUUAGCAAGACUAUUAAAUAAAGAAAAGUU